GCCCGGUUAGCUCAAUCGGUAGAGCGUAAGACUCUUACAGAGCAAGAUCUUAAGGCUGCGUAAGUACGGGAUUUUCAGAUUGAGUG